rnacentral:rRNA from 1 species
UACGUAGGGGUCGAGCGUUGUUCGGAAUUACUGGGCGUAAAGGGCGCGUAGGCGGCCCGCUAAGUCGAACGUGAAAUCCCCGGGCUCAACCCGGGAACUGCGUCCGAUACUGGUGGGCUUGAAUCCGGGAGAGGGAUGCGGAAUUCCAGGUGUAGCGGUGAAAUGCGUAGAUAUCUGGAGGAACACCGGUGGCGAAGGCGGCAUCCUGGACCGGUAUUGACGCUGAGGCGCGAAAGCCAGGGGAGCAAACGGG